UCGAAGCUGAGAAUCUAAGCGCCGGUAAACGGCGGUGGUAACUAUAACCAUCCUAAGGUAGCGAAAUUCCUUGUCGGGUAAGUUCCGACCUGCACGAAUGGCGUAACGACUUCCCCGCUGUCUCAACCACAGGCCCGGCGAAAUUGCAGUACGAGUAAAGAUGCUCGUUUCGCGCAGCAGGACGGAAAGACCCCGGGACCUUCACUAUAGCUUGGCAUUGGCGCUUGGAGCGUCUUGUGUAGGAUAGGUGGGAGACUGUGAAGCCGGCACGCUAGUGUUGGUGGAGUCGCUGGUGAAAUACCACUCUGGUCGUUUUGAGUGUCUAACCCGCACCCGUGGAUCCGGGUGGGGGACAGUGCCUGGUGGGUAGUUUAACUGGGGCGGUUGCCUCCCAAAGAGUAACGGAGGCGCCCAAAGGUUCCCUCAGCCUGGUUGGUCAUCAGGUGGUGAGUGCAAGGGCACAAGGGAGCUUGACUGUGAGACCGACGGGUCGAGCAGGUGCGAAAGCAGGGCCUAGUGAUCCGGCACCGACGUGUGGAAGUGGUGUCGCUCAACGGCUAAAAGGUACCCCGGGGAUAACAGGCUGAUCUUCCCCAAGAGUCCAUAUCGACGGGAUGGUUUGGCACCUCGAUGUCGGCUCGUCGCAUCCUGGGGCUGGAGUAGGUCCCAAGGGUUGGGCUGUUCGCCCAUUAAAGCGGCACGCGAGCUGGGUUUAGAACGUCGCGAGACAGUUCGGUCCCUAUCCGCUGCGCGCGUAGGAGAAUUGCGAGGAUCUGUCCCUAGUACGAGAGGACCGGGACGGACGGACCUCUGGUGUGCCAGUUGUCCCGCCCGGGGCACGGCUGGUUGGCUACGUUCGGUAGGGAUAACCGCUGAAAGCAUCUAAGCGGGAAGCCUUCCUUUAGAUGAGUUCUCCCUCCC
rnacentral:rRNA from 1 species